rnacentral:rRNA from 1 species
GACAGAGGUCCCGAGCGUUAGGCGGAAUCACUGGGCUUAAAGCGUGUGUAGGCGGAUUGGUAAGUACCUUGUGAAAAUCCCACGGCUUAACCGUGGAACUGCUGGGCAUACUGGCGAUCUUGAGCCAGCUAGGGGCAACCGGAACAAACGGUGGAGCGGUGAAAUGCGUAGAUAUCGUUUGGAACGCCAAUGGUGAAAACAGGUUGCUGGGGCUGUGCUGACGCUGAGACACGAAAGCCAGGGGAGCGAACGGG